AAAGCAACUGCUCCGUGGGGGCUGCUGGCUUGAUGCUGGAUGUUGGGCAGCAUUGUGGCUUCUUAGCUAGUGACCAAGUUGAUGCAGGUAGGCUAAGGAGCAGGACAGAGGGAUCCGCGUGGUGCUGCACGCACGGAGGUGACCACAAUUUUCUUCUGCAAAUACUGAAAAGCAAUUCUUUGCCCCUGUGUCACCAGCUGCGUGGAGAAGCACUUAAUACCUGUGCUGGAUGGAUGGCGAGCAGCCACUGCCCCCUGUGCUGAAUGGUGCUCGGCAGGGAGCAGCGAGAGCAGUGACCUCUGCAAGGUGAUGUGCCUGCGCUUCACCAGACAAAGGGAGGAUGAAAAUAUCCUAGAAAAGGAAUGCAGACUUCCAAAGGUCAUGGGGGACGACACAGUGGGAUCUGACAGGGCAAGAGAAGAAAUAUCGCCCAGGAGCUUAUGGGCGUGUGACCGCAGCAGAGGGUCCCUCCCUGAAGCGCUGACGCCGGGCCCCCCAUGCCGGCUGUCCCGGGAGCCCCGCUCGGCUCCCCGCAGGGCUGAGGACGGGGAGCACACCGCAGCCAGCUCUCACCCUCCUGCGCUGCGCCCGCGCUCAGCCUCGGCUCUUCCCCAUCCGGAUGGGUGCGCGAGCUGCAGGGGGCAGGGUCCGUGUGCGAUCUGAAAUAUAACAUCACUUGGUUUCCUCUUGUUUGUUUUUCAAACUGGUCACACUUUUAUUCUUUAAGACACUUUCACCUUUGCUUUGUUUGAAACAUUUUUCCCUAACAAUGUAAUUACUCAUAAAACACAGCAGACCUUUCCAUUCUGCAAACCUUUGCAGUUUUGUUCCACGAUGUCUUAGCUAGCGUUUGACAUAAAGCACUGAUUAAUAAAGAAAUUUUGGUUGAAUAUGUUUUACCCA
rnacentral:lncRNA from 1 species